AGUACGUGAAACUGCUUAGAGGUUAAGCCUGAUGAACCUGAAUAUCCAUUAAUGGAAAAUUCAUCGCCAAUAGUAUAAUAUAUUUUAUUAUAUUAUAAAAAUGGUGUGCAUUUUUUCCAUAAAGGACAUUGUAAUCGGUUAAUAAAUUAAAAGUUUAUCAAAAGAUUCAUUAUAAGAGUUUAUUCUAAUUAAAUUUUUCUGAAGUUUAAAAUUGAAUAAAUUUUAUGGAUUUGAUAGACUGUUGACCGAUUUAAUUGUAAUAAUGUUAUAAAUUUCUUUGGAAAUUUUACAAUAAUUAUUUAUGUAUUCUUUGAACACAUAUUUAAUUUAUUGUAUACAUUUUUAUGAUUUACAAUGCUAUAAAUUCAGGAUACCUUCGGGACCCGUCUUGAAACACGGACCAAGGAGUCUAACAUAUGUGCAAGUCGUUGAGUAUCUUAAAUGAAACUCAAAGGCAUAAUUAACUUAACUGUUUUUAAUGGGAUUAGUUUAUAUAUGUUUUUUUUUUAUUUAAAAAAAAAGAAUGUUGUAAAUUCAAUCCCAGGGCGUUCUAUAUAGUUAUGCAUAAUGAUAUUUAUAUUAUUUAUGUCUCUAACUG
rnacentral:rRNA from 1 species